UAAUACUCGCUUACAAUAAACAAAAGUGCAGAGGGGUGUCAUUGCAAAAUAAAAAAAAAGGGCUAGGGUGAAAACCCUAGCCGCCCUAUGCACCUCUCCACCUUCCAACGCUACCCUCUACGAGAAAACUGUCCCAUCACCACAUAGACGUCACCACCGUGACGUCGGUGGCAUGACAAUACAGAAAAGGACGAGACUUGUCCUUACUUUCCGAUUUUUUGCACGAUUUUUCAGCCAAACAUGGCCUUAAAGCCCACCCGUUAGGCCUAAGGCCCAAAUGGGAAUAUUAUUUCAAAUCGAGUCGAGAAGACAAAGAAAAUAGCAAGGCGCGCAGAAGGCCCAACCAUGGGUGAAAAUGGCCAACUAGGGGCUUGGUACGCCCCUAGUCUAACUUAGCCUCUUCAUAAUCACUCACUUGUUGUUUAAUUUGAUAAAAACUUGUAUUCAAACUCAUGAUAUAGUAGAAACAUUAUUAUUGGAA